UGCUUACACAUGCAGUCGAACGGUGAACACGGAGCUUGCUCUGUGGGAUCAGUGGCGAACGGGUGAGUAACACGUGAGCAACCUGCCCCUGACUCUGGGAUAAGCGCUGGAAACGGCGUCUAAUACUGGAUACGAGUAGCGACCGCAUGGUCAGUUACUGGAAAGAUUUUUUGGUUGGGGAUGGGCUCGCGGCCUAUCAGCUUGUUGGUGAGGUAAUGGCUCACCAAGGCGUCGACGGGUAGCCGGCCUGAGAGGGUGACCGGCCACACUGGGACUGAGACACGGCCCAGACUCCUACGGGAGGCAGCAGUGGGGAAUAUUGCACAAUGGGCGAAAGCCUGAUGCAGCAACGCCGCGUGAGGGAUGACGGCCUUCGGGUUGUAAACCUCUUUUAGCAGGGAAGAAGCGAAAGUGACGGUACCUGCAGAAAAAGCGCCGGCUAACUAC
rnacentral:rRNA from 1 species